rnacentral:tmRNA from 1 species
GGGGAUGUAAUGGUUUCGACAUUGCAUUGGAAACAUGAAUAGCGAGUAGUGGAUUCUCGUUUGCCACUUUAAAAAACGGGAAAUUAAAUAUAAACGCUGAUAAUACAGAAUUAGCAUUUGCUGCCUAAUUGCAGCAUCGCCAGUUAAGAUAUCCCCACAUAUUUUAAUAUGGUGUCAUUAUAGUGGGAAACAAAACUGCUUUUUCUACGAAAGCAGUGGGUAUUUAGUAGAUAUAUUUAAUAAUUGUUUGUUUGUUAAUGAUUGUUGAAUGAAUUUUAAUAAUAAACUGCACUCGGAGAAGUUUAUGUGGAUGGUGUAGUGGACAGGGGUUCGACUCCCCUCAUCUCCACCA